rnacentral:misc_RNA from 1 species
AAAGUCGUAACAAGGUUUCCGUAGGUGAACCUGCGGAAGGAUCAUUACCGAUUUUAGCGAACCUGACCUUUGGUUAUGGUCUCGCGAAAACUUUAUAUUUAAAACCCCACUCAUAAAAAAAAAAAAAAUUUUUCAUAUAAAUAAAUAAAGAUCACUUUCAACAACGGAUCUCUUGGCUCUC